AUUGAACGCUGGCGGCAGGCUUAACACAUGCAAGUCGAGCGAGCGGCGGACGGGUGAGUAAUGUCUGGGAAACUGCCUGAUGGAGGGGGAUAACUACUGGAAACGGUAGCUAAUACCGCAUACCAUCAGAUGUGCCCAGCUGGGAUUAGCUAGUAGGUGGGGUAAUGGCUCACCUAGGCGACGAUCGCUCGCUGGUCUGAGAGGCUGACCAGCCACACUGGAACGGAGCAACGGUCCAGACUCCUACGGGAGGCAGCAGUGGGGAAGAUUGCACAAUGGGGGAAAGCCUGAUGCAGCCAGGCCGCGUGGGUGAAGAAGGCCUUCGGGUUGUAAAGCACUUUCAGCGAGGAGGCGUUACUCGCAGAAGAAGCACCGGCUAACUCCGUGCCAGCCGCCGCGGUAAUUC
rnacentral:rRNA from 1 species